rnacentral:rRNA from 1 species
GAUGAACGCUGGCGGCGUGCCUAAUACAUGCAAGUCGAGCGAACAGACGAGGAGCUUGCUCCUCUGACGUUAGCGGCGGACGGGUGAGUAACACGUGGAUAACCUACCUAUAAGUCUGGGAUAACUUCGGGAAACCGGAGCUAAUACCGGAUAAUAUAUUGAACCGCAUGGUUCAAUAGUGAAAGACGGUUUUGCUGUCACGUAUAGAUGGAUCCGCGCCGCAUUAGCUAGUUGGUAAGGUAACGGCUUAUCAAGGCAACGAUGCGUAGCCGACCUGAGAGGGUGAUCGGCCGCACGGGAACUGAGACACGGUCCAGACUCCUACGGGAGGCAGCAGAAGGGAAUCGUCCGCAAUGGGCGAAAGCCUGACGGAGCAACGCCGCGUGAGUGAUGAAGGUCUUCGGAUCGGAAAACUCUGUUAUUAGGGAAGAACAAAUGUGUAAGUAACUAUGCACGUCUUGACGGUACCUAAUCAGAAAGCCACGGCUAACUACGUG